rnacentral:rRNA from 1 species
UUGUCCUACGGGAGGCAGCAGUGAGGAAUAUUGGUCAAUGGUCGGGAGACUGAACCAGCCAAGCCGCGUGAGGGAUGAAGGUACAGAGUAUCGUAAACCUCUUUUGUCAGGGAACAAAGGCGGGGACGUGUCCCCGGAUGAGUGUACCUGAAGAAAAAGCAUCGGCUAACUCCGUGCCAGCAGCCGCGGUAAUACGGAGGAUGCGAGCGUUAUCCGGAUUUAUUGGGUGUAAAGGGAGCGCAGGCGGCCUUGCAAGUCUGAUGUGAAAUACCGGGGCUCAACCCCGGAGCUGCAUU